GUUUUCUCUUUAUUCUCUAUUUCCUUUUGCUUUUCCUUUUGGUCUCCGACCAAAUUUUUUAUGCAACUUCCUUUUUGUUUUUCAUUUUCUUUUCAUUUUCUCUUUCUCCGAUAGUUCUAUAUCUCUCGACAUUCUGAUUAUCUUCACAAUCAGAAUCACCCGCUGUUUAUUCAAUUUCUCAAGUUCCUAGCACUUCUCGUGAGGGUGAGGCUCAAUCUUUAGCUACGGCUUCGAUUCCUCGAGUACAUACUGGGAUUAUAAAUCAUAGUUCAUACCAAAUUUUCCUCUUCCUCCUCCUCUUCCUAUGGUUUUCCUGCUUCUUAAAAAAACAGCCCUCAAAAUAUAAAAAAAAAAUAAUAAGAAGAGGUCAUUGAGUGGUAAGGCUAAAGGUAAAAAGGCUAUUAAACAAAAAAAGCCAAAAUUGGCAAAUGCUGAUCAUAUAAUUCAAUCGCCAUAGGAAAUUUGUUGUAAUUUAUUUGCUUUUGAGAAGCAAGGAAAAUGAAGGAAAAUGUGGCAUUUUCAAAUAAAAUAAAAGAAGAAAAAAAAUGGCUUUUUUUCCAAAUGCCCACCAGGCCCACGCUAGAGCCUAGCACCCAGGCCCACGUUCAGCCUUCCAUCAGCUCCUCGAGCCUGAUGCACCAACCGGCUCCAGCAGCUUCACCACCCGAAGACUUCCCAGCCGUGCAUCUCCUUCCGCCUGGCCUCUGAUGCACCACCCAGCCAGCUAAAGACUUCCUCAUCACAUGCACCCAUUCGCCCCAAUCCAAACCACACGGGCCUGCCUCCUUCACCCAUCUGAAGCCCAACUCACCUGGCCCAAGCAUCCCAGCCGAGCAUCACGUGCUGCACAUGCCAGCCGCCUGCCACCAGCAACCAAAUAGCUGCAUUUUCCCAUUUUGAGCCUAAAAUUGCAUAAGUGUACCAUUUGUCCCCUAUGUUCAAAAUGCCAACUUUUUACCAUUUUCUCUACACAUUUUCACCACAACAUCAUCAUUACACCUUAUAAAUUACUUCUACAUACCAUAUUUAUUUUUUAAUUAAUCUAAUCAAUUUAAUUAAUUUAAAUUGAUUAUUUUAAUAAUCUCAUUUUGGCUAUAAAUAUGGUAUUUCAAGACCAUUUGGGGUGCUUAAUUUUUGGUUACCAUCUUCUUUUCUCUCAUUUUCUCUCUACCAUUCUCUCUUCCAUUUUGGGUUUUUCAAGAGCAUUUUGCAAGUAUGUAUGUCAUUUAUUUUGUAAUUUCUACUAUAGUUAUGUGCUUCUAAUCUUUUUCAUAAGAUUAUUAAGAUCAUGAUAAAGCAACUCGUAACUAGGUAAUAUUUAUGUUGUAUGUUGAUUUCCCUUGUAAUGCAACAAAGUUUA